AGAGAGACGUCAGCCUUGGCAAGACUUUUGGAUGCGUCCGUAGCCUGCAGUGGUCAGACUUAUGGUUGAUGGUGUAUUGUUCCUACCAUGGGCUCAUGCAUUAUGCAGAGGGUAGACAGUGCACCAGGCCUGCUCAUUGCAAGCCUUCGAUGAUAUCACACCUGCAUCGCUCCGAAGGGCUGAGGAGAUGCGCACACAGGUAAAGAGGAUGAGCAAAACAGCAUUGGGACGGAGGAGCCUGAAGGAGCGGGACAAGCCCGUGCAGCCUGGGACUGUUUUGCUCUAAAGAGAAAGAAACUGAUGAUGAAAGAAACAGGAG